rfam:Cricetulus griseus cell line CHO-K1, whole genome shotgun sequence.
GUAAUGCUCAAAACCUGGCGGCACUUUGUUCCAAAACAAAAAGUGCUGCCAUUGUUUGAGUACCAC